rnacentral:rRNA from 1 species
AUUGAACGCUGGCGGAAUGCUUUACACAUGCAAGUCGAACGGCAGCACGGGGCAACCUGGUGGCGAGUGGCGAACGGGUGAGUAAUAUAUCGGAACGUGCCCAAUCGUGGGGGAUAACGUAGCGAAAGUUACGCUAAUACCGCAUACGCCCUGAGGGGGAAAGCGGGGGAUCGUAAGACCUCGCGUUAAUGGAGCGGCCGAUGCCGGAUUAGCUAGUUGGUGAGGUAAAGGCUCACCAAGGCGACGAUCCGUAGCUGGUCUGAGAGGACGACCAGCCACACUGGAACUGAGACACGGUCCAGACUCCUACGGGAGGCAG